rnacentral:misc_RNA from 1 species
GAUGAAGAACGCAGCGAAAUGCGAUAAGUAAUGUGAAUUGCAGAAUUCAGUGAAUCAUCGAAUCUUUGAACGCACAUUGCGCCCGCUAGUAUUCUGGCGGGCAUGCCUGUCCGAGCGUCAUUUCAACCCUCAAGCCCCCGGGCUUGGUGUUGGGGAUCGGCGAGCCUCCGCGCCCGCCGUCCCCUAAAUCUAGUGGCGGUCUCGCUGUAGCUUCCUCUGCGUAGUAGCACACCUCGCACUGGAAAACAGCGCGGCCACGCCGUUAAACCCCCAACUUCUGAACGUUUGACCUCGGAUCAGGUAGGAAUACCCGCUGAACUUAAGCAUAUCAAUAAGCGGAGGA